rnacentral:rRNA from 1 species
AGUAGUGGCGAGCGAAAAGGGAGUAGCCCAAACUUUAAAUGUGUCAAGCUGCAGAGCGUUGCAUUUAUGGGGUUGUAGGACGUUUAGGCUUAGUCUGUGAUAAGCAAAAAAGUUACAAAAUAUUUAUAUAGAAGAAUAAUCUGGAAAGAUUAACCAAAGAAGGUGAUAGUCCUGUAAUUUAAAUGUAAAUAUCUUUUUANAAUGUUCCUGAGUAGGACGAGGCACGAGAAACCUUGUUUGAAGCUGGGGAGACCACUCUCCAAGGCUAAAUACUAAAAAGCUACCGAUAGAGAAGAGU